UACGAAGGGGCUAGCGUUGCUCGGAAUCACUGGGCGUAAAGGGUGCGUAGGCGGGUCUUUAAGUCAGGGGUGAAAUCCUGGAGCUCAACUCCAGAACUGUCCUUGAUACUGAGAGCUUGAGUCCGGGAGAGGUGAGUGGAACUGCGAGUGUAGAGGUGAAAUUCGUAGAUAUUCGCAAGAACACCAGUGGCGAAGGCGGCUCACUGGCCCGGUACUGACGCUGAGGUGCGAAAGCGUGGGGAGCAACAGG
rnacentral:rRNA from 1 species